rnacentral:tRNA from 1 species
GGAUAUAGCUUAAGUGGUGGAACACACGCCUAGCAUGCGUGAGGUCUUGGGUUCAAUCCCCAGUACCUCCG